AGGUGCGAUUAUACCAGCACUAAUGCACCAUAUUCCAUCAGAACUCUGUAGUUAAAGCGUUUUUGAACGAAAGUAGUAAUAAGAUGGAUGACCUCUCGGAAAUUUCUCGUGUUGUAUCCU
rfam:Brassica napus, WGS project CCCW01000000 data, contig: 22813